rnacentral:SRP_RNA from 1 species
GCUAGACUGCUCUGACUGUAGCUUAUUUGUUGAUUUGAGAGGCUGAGGCAGGAGGAGCCCUUGAGCCUGGGAGUUCUGGGCUGCUGGGUGCUAUGCUGACAGGGUGUCUGCAUGAAGUUAAGCAUCAACAUGGUGACCUCCCGGGACCGGGGAACCACCAGGUUGCCUAAGGAGGGAUGAACCGGCCCAGAUCGGAAACGGAGCAGGUCAAAAAAAGAACUGCAAGAAAUAGCAACAGCAACAACAACAAAACCCUUCAACUGUACCCAUAUACUAUUGGUGAUUGUGUCA